rnacentral:rRNA from 11 species
AAGUUCAGCCUAACUGUCUUGAAGCCACCAGAUCUCAUCUGCUCUAAGAAAAUAAGCAGGCUCAGCCCCAGUUUAGAACCUGGAUUAGUGACUACUAAGGUGGUGCUAGCUGAAUUUC